AGCAGAGGGCCGUCCCGCGUCAGAGGUUUUGGGCGCGCCAAAGCCAGACUUCAGAGCGGCGGGGGGCCACGCCGGUAGGGGGACCGCACCCCAUCCGGCAUGGCACGCAGGCGGUGGCGGGGCCCCCUCGCCGGCUCUCCCUGUCCUGGGACGAAAUCCGGCUUUGGAACCUGCGGGUCCCACUCGGGGACACGGGCCGAGCUUCAGGCUUCCCCGUCGCCAGAGGUCUUCUCAAUUCCGCAGAAGAGACUCGGGACUCCUACUCCCCGCGCUGGGUCAGAGCACCGAGUAGAGUUCCCUGUGCUAUACGGUGGGAACAAACAGACUUAUAAAUGGAGGAGCUUUGGUGCCUACCCCACAGGUAGAUGUGAGGAUUAAAUGAGAUCAUCUAUAAGGAAGAUCGUAUCCCUGGACACAAGGAGAGUGAGGAUGGUAUGGUCGAUUGGAAAGUGCCCGCCCCCCUCAAGAUAUGUCGUCAGCCUAAUGCCUGGAACCUGUGAAUGAGACCUUGUUUGGAAAAAGGACUUUGCAGAUGUGAUUAAGUUGGGGAUCCUGAGAUGAGGCGCUCAUCCUGGAUCAUCCAGGCAGGCCCUAAACACCAUCACAGGUGUCCUUACAGGAGGGAUGCAGAUGGAGAUUAGGCAGAUGCGCCGAGGAGACGUGAUGCAAAGAUGGAGGGAUGCAGCCACAAGCCAAGGAGCGCGGAGAAGUGCCAGCAGCUACCAGAAGCUAGAAGAGGAAAGGAAGGCUUCUCCCCCAGAGCCUGGGGAGGGAGUGCAGCCCUGCCAGUACCUUGAUCUCAGACUUCUGGCCUCCAGAACUGUGAGACAAUAAAUUUUGGUUGUUUUAAGC